CAAUAGCGUAUAUUAAAGUUGUUGCGGUUAAAAAGCUCGUAGUUGGAUCUUGGAGCGUGUGCUUGCGGUCACAUUUCGGUGUGUACUGCUUGACGUGUUCUUCUAUUUGGUUGCGCGUGUGUGUGCUCUUAACUGAGUGCCGCAUUCGACCGAAACGUUUACCUUGAAAAAAUUAGAGUGUUCAAAGCAGACCUUUUUGUGUCUGAAUAUUCGUGCAUGGAAGUAAUAGAAAUAAUGAAUUACGGUUUCCGUUAUUUUUGUUUUGGGUUUUUCGGGUUAACCGUACGAGUUAAUUAGAUUAAGUAGGGACGAGACGGGGGCGGAUUCG
rnacentral:rRNA from 1 species